ACACAUGGAUAUGAAACAGGAAGUGCAAUAUACAGGAAUUUAUAUUGAUGACGUCACUAAUGCUGUGACUAUGCGGGUGUCGCUUGUAAAGAAGCUAAAGUCGGCUGAAGUGGACUUUCAUUUAUUCACAAACCUCACAGGCUUGCUGUACUGACCUUUUCUUUCAAGAAAUUUGAAAAUUUUAUUGCAAUUUCAGAUUCAUGGUGUGCCUAAAAAUACAGUGAGAAAAAAAUAGGACCAAAAAGAAAGCAUCACUCUAUGGAUACUUCUGAGCCCGUGGCCUGAAUUGAUGAUCUGUACGAUAUAGCAACAGCUAGUUCCUUCGUUUUAUACCACAAUGAUUCGUACAUGCAUAAUGAUGAUUACUCUGCAAUUGUAAAGUUGAUGGUCUUCAGAAUUGGUUUUAAUAAAAUUGCAGGAUCUCUAUAUAUUUCUUGCUCAUUGAUUUUAUCAUUGAUAGUUGUUAUCUUGAUUAUAAUAGCAUGAUUUAUACAUAAUAUGACUUCAACUUUUUCUUUUAAUAUAAUUAAGUUGAUGUAUUUGACAGUACAGUUAGAUUUGAUGGAGUUUGUAGCUAAAAUUCACCAAGUUUUGCAAUUUCUUCUAACAAACUA